rnacentral:rRNA from 1 species
CCUACGGGUGGCAGCAGUGAGGAAUAUUGGUCAAUGGGCGCGAGCCUGAACCAGCCAAGUAGCGUGAAGGAUGACUGCCCUACGGGUUGUAAACUUCUUUUAUCAAGGAAUAAAGUGAGGCACGUGUGCCUUUUUGUAUGUACUUUAUGAAUAAGGAUCGGCUAACUCCGUGCCAGCAGCCGCGGUAAUACGGAGGAUCCGAGCGUUAUCCGGAUUUAUUGGGUUUAAAGGGGGCGUAGGCGGGUUGUUAAGUCAGUUGUGAAAGUCUACGGCUCAACCGUCGAAUGGCAAUUGAUACUGGCAGUCUUGAGUACAGUUGAGGUAGGCGGAAUUCGUGGUGUAGCGGUGAAAUGCUUAGAUAUCACGAAGAACUCCGAUUGCGAAGGCAGCUUACUAAACUGCCACUGACAUUGAGGCACGAAAGUGUGGGUAUCAAACAGGAUUAGACACCCGAGUAGUC